UACAGAGGUCCCAAGCGUUGUUCGGAUUCACUGGGCGUAAAGGGUGCGUAGGUGGUGAGGUAAGUCGGAUGUGAAAGCUCGGAGCUCAACUCCGAAGUGGCAUUGGAAACUACCUUGCUCGAGGGUUGGAGGGGGGACUGGAAUGCUUGGUGUAGCAGUGAAAUGCGUAGAUAUCAAGCGGAACACCAGUGGCGAAGGCGAGUCCCUGGACAACUCCUGACACUGAGGCACGAAAGCUAGGGGAGCAAACAGG
rnacentral:rRNA from 1 species